rnacentral:rRNA from 1 species
UCAUAUGGUACCGGCAAUUUCCUUCGCAAAGGCUUUUUCUUUCCCAUAUAAAAGCAGUUUACAACCCAGAAGGCCGUCUUCCUGCACGCGGCAUGGCUGGUUCAGGCUCUCGCCCAUUGACCAAUAUUCCCUA